AUUGAACGCUGGCGGCAUGCUUUACACAUGCAAGUCGAGCGGCAGCGCGGGGGGCAACCCUGGCGGCGAGCGGCGAACGGGUGAGUAAUGCAUCGGAACGUACCCUGGAGUGGGGGAUAACGCCGCGAAAGCGGCGCUAAUACCGCAUAUGCUCUGAGGAGGAAAGUGGGGGACCGCAAGGCCUCACGCUCUGGGAGCGGCCGAUGUCCGAUUAGCUAGUUGGUGGGGUAAAGGCUUACCAAGGCGACGAUCGGUAGCUGGUCUGAGAGGAUGAUCAGCCACACUGGGACUGAGACACGGCCCAGACUCCUACGGGAGGCAGCAGUGGGGAAUUUUGGACAAUGGGGGCAACCCUGAUCCAGCCAUGCCGCGUGAGUGAAGAAGGCCUCGG
rnacentral:rRNA from 1 species